GAACUGAACUGAACACUCUGAAACUCUGUUAUCCACACAUGUCCAACCAGCCCCCAGAGCCCCUGCUGUGUGCCAGGGCCUACGCUGCUUGUCAAAGGGAAGAAUCAGAGGAAUGGCUCUCACUUGAGGACACGUCCGUCUGCAGUAUGAAAAAGAUCAUAAACACAUCAUUGCAACACAGUUUGCUAAGUGCAGUGAUGCAGGCUCAUACGAAGUGUCAAGGGAAGGCAUAUUGCCUGUGGAGAUUAAAUGAGAUUAUGUGUA
ensembl:lincRNA Gm14241 predicted gene 14241